GAUUUUGGAGUUUCCUCAAAAAAGUAAAAAAUGGAACUGCUGUUUGACUCAGUGAUCCAAAUUCUGGGAAUAUAUCCUAAGAAUCCUAAAACACCAAACCGAAAAAAUAUAUGUUCAUAGCACUGUUUACAAUAGCUACGAUCUGGAAACAGCCCAAGUGCCCAUCAGAAUGGAUAAAAAAGAUGUAGUACAUUUACACAAUGGAAUACUAUGCAGCUGUAAAAAAGAAGGAUCUCCUACUUUUUAAGACAGCAAAGAGGGACUGAGAGAGUAUUAUGCUAAGUGAAAUAAGCCAGUCAGAGAAAAACAAAUAUCACAUGACCUCAUUAUGCAGAAUCUAGUGAAUCAAAUAAACUGAACAAAAUAGAUCCAGAGACAUAGAAGCAUGGAACAGAAUGAUGAAUCUCCAAGGGAAGGAGGGACAGGAAGAGAUUUCCCAAAGAACUUACAUGCAUAUAUGCAUAACCCAUGGACACCGACAAUGGUGUAGUGAAGGCCCAGGGGAGACGGGGUGGGGUAAAUGGAAAAAUAAGGGGACACCUGUAAUACUUUCAACAAUAAAGAUACAUUUAAAAAUAAAACACAAAAGAAUACAUUUUUCAAAAUUGAAUAUAAUCUUCAGACACUGUAAUUGUUUGUCAACACCUUUCAAACUGAUGUCCGUUCUGGUCCAGGCACUGCUAACACAAAGCAAUGGAAUCACAAACGUCUAGAAACAUUUCAUUUGGUAUUUGAGUGCAUUCUUGUUCAAUGGCUACUCUCAAUUCUGAGACUAUUGCCAGUUUUGUAACAUAGACUUUCUCUCUUAAGUAUCCCCAUAAAAGUUGAGAGGUGUGAGGUCUGGUAAACGAGGAGGGUAUUCUGCAAAACCCCUUCGUCCAAUCCACCUGUUUGGCAAGAUCUCAUCAAGGUAGGAUCUUACACCACAAUGGUAGUGUGGGGGUGCCACAUCUUGCUGAAAAUAAACUCAACUGCAAAGACCUCUCUAAUGCUUGACAUGAAAAAUUGUUGCUGUAAGUUCAAGUAAGCGGGACCAGUCACAAUAGCAUCAAAAAAUAAUGUCCAAUUAAUCCUCUUGAUGAUAAACCACACCACACUGUAACUCCUGGUAAAUUCACAUGAUGUUUUGUGGGGAAGCACAGGACUUGGUUGGAAUGUUUGUAAGGAUUUUUUGAAAGGUCAGGGGCCUCUGCAGCCUCUAUUUAGACUUUUCCAAACAAGUCUGAUUUCCUGGGGUGUUUUGCUAGAAUCUUUGUUUACCCUUUAAAGACCUGACCUUGUAGAAGCAUAUACUUUCUCAAGGAUACUUGCCCUGCUGAUUGUAUCUAGAGGUUAAUUUGAGUUCAAGCUUUUAUGACAAUAAAAAGCCAACAAAGCAGGUGAACAGGACUGCUUUUACUACUGAAGUAAGAGUCCCUUAGCCCUCUCUUUCACAGAAACGUGUGUUGGAGUAAUCUGUUCAUCCAUCGCUCAGGGGCAGCUGGUGGUCAGCCCCGGCAGCUGGUGCCCCCCGCCCCAUGUGAGGAGGCCAGGAAUGCAACGAAACACAGUGGAACCCUCGGAAACGAAGAGGAAGAAAACGAAAGUAACUGUGCGGGACUGGUAAUGAGAGGAGAGUCUAGAAGAGGAAAUGAAAGGAGAGUCUAGAAGAGGAACUUUGGAACCUAAGAGAAUAAUGGAACAUGAGAAUCAAGAUGAAAAGUGUGGAGUACACAUAUAUGUGUGGUUAGGAAAAUGAUAAAGAUGACCUCAAAGAAAAUAAAAAUCUUUUCUUCUGUUUUCCUCACCUGCUACCAUUCACUACAUCUCAAGGCCCACACAUUCAGAAGACAAGGCUAUCCAGCUCAGUUUAUGGAGGCCCAUCUGCUCUUAAGAAGAGGCUAGUCCAGAGCCAAAGAGAACAAACUUUGCUCUUAAAAGAAAGGAACUUAUAUCAGCUAGCUAACUGCAUCCAAUUCUCUGAAUUCAUUGUUGAGAAUACUGACCAUCCUGACUCCUGAAACAGAAGAUACAAGUACAAUCAAACCUGUGUAAACAAACACGUUGCCUAAUUGUGGACCCAGAUAUACCACAAUUGAAUAUUUCCCCUCAAACCCAACUCCAUAAAGUAAAAGCCUGAUGAAAAACCAGUUGAGGCUGAUACCAUAUUAAUCUUGUCUCCCUAAACCAGAGCUCCAAUGGGGUUCUCCAUGCAAGCAUUCAUUCAACAGAUACUACUGGGCAUCUAUUAUGUGCAUAGAGCAUCUAUUAGGCACUGGGAAUAAAAACGUGACUUAGAGGCAUUUCCUGCCUCUAAAUGCA